rnacentral:rRNA from 1 species
GACGAACGCUGGCGGCGUGCUUAACACAUGCAAGUCGAACGGAAAGGCCCCUUUGGGGGUACUCGAGUGGCGAACGGGUGAGUAACACGUGAGUAACCUGCCCUUGACUUCGGGAUAACUUCAGGAAACUGGGGCUAAUACCGGAUAGGAAUCCUUGCUGCAUGGUGGGGGUUGGAAAGCUUCGGCGGUUUUGGAUGGACUCGCGGCUUAUCAGCUUGUUGGUGGGGUAGUGGCUUACCAAGGCUUUGACGGGUAGCCGGCCUGAGAGGGCGACCGGCCACAGUGGGACUGAGAUACGGCCCAGACUCCUACGGGAGGCAGCAGUGGGGAAUAUUGCACAAUGGGCGGAAGCCUGAUGCAGCAACGCCGCGUGCGGGUUGACGGCCUUCGGGUUGUAAACCGCUUUCAGCAGGGGCGAAGCUUGUGGUGACGGUACCUGCAGAAGAAGCACCGGCUAACUACGUG